AGAAUUAUGCUUGGGAAAGACUUUGGCUGCUCUGAUUUAACUCAAUGCUUCUUGGCUUUGGAGAGAGCUACAAUUUUGAAUUCAAAGGGUCACUAUUUUUUGAGUUUGAGUUGUCAUGAGUUUUUUUAUUUUUUUUUUUAUUUUUAAUUUCUUUUCAUAAUAUAUUCAUAUACUAUUGUCCAGUCAUGGCAAAAGCUCUCAUAAGUAACAAAGGAGCAAGAGAUAUAUGAAGAAAAUUGAGAAUAAAGUCCUUUCCUGAGACUACAAUUGUAAACGCCUCCCUACUGCACAUUGUCAUGCAAGACUUUUGAUCAUUAAGAUUUCCAUGCCUUGCAAGAAGGGAAAUUUUUUUAAAUAUCAAGUCGUAUUUUUAAACCAUCCUACUUGCAUGCUGGACUACAUUUGUCAGUUACAAAGCCACAUGUAAUCUUGUCAAAAUCCAUGUGGGCAAUCUGUUCUGGUAGUUGGAGGGAUUUAGGCUUCCUUUAUUAAAUGGGAGUUAAGAAGGCAUCUACCCUACUUGGAGUAUUAUUUAGAAUUCAAAUACUAGGCAAAUACCUAAAAAAAUAUAGGAAACUAUUAGAAAUUGAUAUACCGUAUAGAGUUUUUGUGUUUGUUUGUUUAAAUUUACAUGUUGAUUUGUUUAGACUUGUCAUGAAGUGGGCGAUAUGGAAAACAAUAAGAAGAAAACAUAAGGGGAAGUUCAUCAUAAAAUCGGGUUCUUUUCCGGAUGGGGUUGAUCUCUCUUAUCAAUUUGACCAUCACCCACUUCCCAAAUCUGGAAAGACUCUUAUGAGGAGUUUCAAAACCUCACCUCUCUCCAAAGACUUCAUAUCAUGUCUUGCCUUAGGCUCUUGUCCUUUCCAAAGGAAGGGUUGCCUCCCUCUCUUUUGCAUCUAUUGAUCUGCAAUUGUCCUAAGCUUGCGACCUUUCCAGAACAAGGCUUCCCUCCCUCUCUUUUGGCACUGAGGAUCUAUGGAUGUAGUCGAAUACUGAAAAAGAAGUGUGAAAAGGGCAAAGGUCAAUAUUGGCCCAUCAUCAAAUACAUUCCUGUAGUAGAUUUUGAUUAAGCAGCCAACUGCAAGGUGUGCCGAUGGAAAAAUAACCCUAUUCGCCACUAGCAAUCUUUACACAUUUCUGCAAGGGGCUUCAUUCAGAAUCUGAGCUAGACGAUGCCUCUUGAUCUUUCAUUUUUCCUGUACUGCUGCUUCGAUUCCAGGGCUUUGUUGCUGUGGAAACAAACUUUAGGAUGUAUGCAUGCUCAUCGUCUAAACUGCACUGUGAGUUUUUGCUCCUCUUCUCAAGCUUUUGAGGAUGCUUGAGACUCUUCACAAGAAUAUGGAGGUUUGUUAUAGGAAGACUAAAAAAAAAAAUAGUAGUGCAGGCAGAAAUACCCAUGCACAUCUGAGAAUUCCCUUGUCGUCAAAGGCAAUAGAUUCUGUGUGCAAUCUGCAAGAAACUAAUUGAAGGGAUUUGAAUGUCUGUUUUGCAAUGAUUUGGAAAGUUAGAUGGAUUCCAUGCUGAUGCUAAAGUUUGCUCUCUUGCUGACGAAAGCACUGGUGUCUAGAAUGGAAUGAGGCUCUCAUCAGAUAGGGCUUUUUGGAUUUUGAAGCUGAGUUGAUAUCAUAUCAUUGGGAGAUGGAUUUGCAAAGAACAGAAACAUGGGUCAGCUCUUCAGAUGAUGAGCAGCAGCUCGUAGACCACCUAAAAAGGAAUGAGUUUUGAAAGGGCAUUUGGGAAGAAGAUUUAGUUGCUGAAAGUUCUGAAUAAAGUGAAAAUCUUUGGAUGGAAAAUCUGUUCGAAUAUCCAUCCUGUUUAGUGAAACUUGAGAGGUGCAAAGUAAUUCAACUUGAUGACUGCUAACUUGUACAUUAGCAGAAAAUUAGUGCUGUUUUUGGUGGUUUGAGUCAGCUUACAAUGUGAUUGACCUUUUUAAGUCUCUUGACACAUCUUCAUUUGUAGCUCUGCUUAGAUGGCUGAUUUAUUAUAAUUUGACUUUCUUCUAGUCUGAGCCACAGGUGCCUAAUUUAGUGUUCACAUGUAUUCACUUUCCAAGAGCAUUCUUGAGGAGAGUAUGUUUGGUUAAUUGCUUAUAUAAAUGAUGUAGAAGCACAAUUACUUGAACAAA